CUAAAUCAAGUCCAUUUUAUUUGAAAUUUUCCACAUGCCACACAUGUACAUGAAAAUUCCCAUCCAGAAUGUAGUUUGCUACAGUGAACACCAAUGUCAGGAGCAGGCAUCACCGUGAGACGCCACGGGGGCAGGUCAGCGGGACGGGGACAGGGAGGUUGGUCAUCGAAAGGCAGGUGAUGCAUGUCGGGUCAUUUAGCACCUGGUCAUGAGAUAUGGCGAGACCCCCAGGGCCAGGGAAAGGUCUCCCCUUAAAACCACGUGGAGCUCUGCUGUCUCUGGGCAGUCUCACGUGGACGGACAAUGCUCAGAAGGUGGUGAAGGGGCUGGAGGGAGAUACCACCAACGGCUGCAGGGGAGGGGCACGCACACACACAGGCACGCACAUGCUUGCCCAUGAACACCCCCCGGGCACACACACACCCUUGCACACUCCCCACCCUCCCUCCACCCCAGACACAUCAGCACGGCGGUCCAGGCUCUGGCUCACUCCCCGGGAGGCUUCUGUGGCCAGGGUUCCCAUGGCGGGUCUGGUGGCAACAGCUUGGAGAAAAGCCUCCCGGGACCAACCCUCAUUCCCAGGUCCACUGAUCUGGGGUAGGAGUAGCCAGGUGUUCUGACAGGCGGUUUUCCCGUAAACCGACCCCUUCAGCGUUUCUGCUUUUUGUUGUUUGUUUUCUGAGACAGGGUAUUGCUCCGUGGCCCAGAGUGGAGGGCAAUGGUGCGAUCUUGGCUCACUGCAACAUCCAACUCCUGGGCUCAAGCAAUCCUCCUGCCUCAGCCUCCUGAGUAGCUGGGACCACAGGCACAUGUACAAUGCCCAGCUAACUUUUUUUUAUUAUUUUAUGUAGAGAUAGAGUCUCACUAUGUUGCCCAGGCUGGUCUCGAACUCCUGGGCUCAAGCGAUCCUCCUGCCCCAGCCUCCCAAAGUGCUGGGAUGACAGGCGUGAGCCACCACGCCCGGCCCCUCCCAUGUUUCUCAAAGGAGCUUUAGAGAGCAGAGGAGCCCCAAUGACAGCCCGAGUCACUGCCACCACUGGGUUCCUCAGUGUCUGUGGGGUUUGUGUUCAUCAUGCCCAGUAGAUCUAGAAACUUCUUUUGUUUUGUUUUGUUUUGUUUUUUGAGACGGAGUCUCACUCUGUCGCCCAGGCUGGAGUGCAGUGGCGCGAUCUCAGCUCACUGCAAGCUCCGCCUCCCAGGUUCAUGCCAUUCUCCUGCCUCAGCCUCCUGAGUGGCUGGGACCACAGCGGGAAUCAAGGUCCCCGCAUCCAGGCCUCCAGCACCCUCCAUCCCUGCAGGAGCACUGCUGGCACCGCCAAGGCCGGGGCACUGGUCUGGAGCUUCAUUGGCCGGCAGGAGCCCAGCCUUCAGCGGUUGCAGCCCUACUGCUCUAGGUCUGGCCCCUCCACAAGCCCUCCAGGCCCACGCCUGAGCCCAGCCCCAGUCCCCUGGGUCCAACGGCCUGUGGCUCUGGGUCCGGACCCAGGGUGUGGUUGAGGGAGGGCGCUGCUGAGCUGGCAGGCACCCCUUGUGUGUUCGCAGCGCAAGAGGAGCUCAGCCCGUCCUGGCUGCAGUCCUGGGUCGAAGCAGCAAGUGUCUUCCCGCCCUGUGCACACACAGGUCCCGGGAGGGCCUCUUGGAGAAGAAACCGCUCAGGCCCGUGUCCUGGCAGGGCCUCUGGGGGCAGCAGAUGGCAGGGAUAGAGCCCGCCCCCUCUGCUGCAGAAGGAAGCGGCCCUCACCCAGCCCCCCUGGGCUGGACGGGUCGUUAAAAACAAGAAAAGCCUUCCAUAGCAGAAAGGAGUACUCAAGGCCCAGAAAGGCAGCUUUGCUCUGGGCCACCUUCGGAAGCCUGGUGGGGCCGAGUGUUGCCUGGUGACGUGGAGCAGGAGGCGGGGCGGAGGCUGUGGGACACGGGGCUGCAGGGCCGGGAGGGGGUCAGGAGAAUAAAUAGCAGCUAGGUGUGGGGUGAGCUGGGAGCACAGGCAGGAGGGGGCAGCCAGAGAGGUUGGGGCUCUCCCUUUUAAAGAACAAAGGGAUACAUACCCUUUCCCCUCCACCCUCCCUCCAACCCCGCAGUCUCUCCCUCACAUACACACACGGAAGACGUGACUCACACACGCAUGCACACACAGGGCACAGGUACACGCAGGCACACGUGCACACACAGGGCACAGGUACACGCAGGCACAUGUACACGCAGGCACACGUGCACGCAGGCACAUGCAUGCAGGCACAUGUGCACACACAAGGCACAGGUACCCGCAGGCACACGUGCACGCAGGCACACGCACGCAGGCACGGGGACAAGUGCUGACCGCGCUCCUCCAGCAGGCAGCAUAUGGUCCGCUGCUUAACAGCCGAGCUCUGCCAAUUGGGGACCAUUAGGGUGGGUUCUUUUCCCAGCAUCAAAUGCUGCAGAAUAUAAAUUGCAACUAACACUGGUGCCAAAAUAGCACUUAGAGAAAAUAAGCACGUUAUUAACAUCUGGUGAAGCCCAUCUCGGGGGUAGCAGCAGCGGAAAUUCUUGCUCUAAGUCAAAGGAUGGUUGCAGGGGACACUAAAAAUACAAGGUCCACUGUUUCAGGGGUGCUUUCCAAGGCACUGUACCCCAGCCUCAGGAACGGCCCUUCCCCCAGUCCUGUCUAUGAGUAUAAAUUAUGCUGCUGGUUAAAACCGCUUGCUCAUGAGAACAGGACACCCAGGCGCGAUCGUACACACGCUAGGAUGCAUUCCUGGAGCAGACGCAAUUCUCUAGCCCGAGUGGGGAAUGUUCUGGAGGAAGGAGUGGGGCGGAGCUGCGGUGCCCAGAGACACAGGCCCCCUGAGGGUCCGGGAACCUCCCAGGCCACUCGCCCCUGCCUGCCACACCUCGGUUGGAGAGCAAGAAGUGGUCAGUCCCGGGAGGCACCACACCACCCGAUCUGAUCGCCGCGCCUGGUGGUCUCCAGGUGCCAUUUUAAAGCUCUAAAGAAAUGCCCAGGAACUGUGGGUGGGGGGGGUGCUCCCACCACCUCUGAGACCCUCAUCUACAGCCCCUGCCCCCUGGGGCCGUGGGCAGCUGGUCCUGCGGCCUGCAGACUAGGAGACGGGGCCUAGGGGUGUGGCUCUCACAGGCCAUGACAGGAGGGCCAGGAGGCCUCUGGGAGGCGAAGGCUUGGUCUGGUGUGGGUCCCACCAUCGGGCACUGCUGGAAUCAGCCUGCAGAAGGGUCCCUCCGGCCAGGAGGCAAAGGUUCUGCAC
rnacentral:lncRNA from 1 species